UACGAAGGGUGCAAGCGUUACUCGGAAUUACUGGGCGUAAAGCGUGCGUAGGUGGUUUGUUAAGUCUGAUGUGAAAGCCCUGGGCUCAACCUGGGAAUUGCAUUGGAUACUGGCAGGCUAGAGUGCGGUAGAGGGUAGUGGAAUUCCCGGUGUAGCAGUGAAAUGCGUAGAGAUCGGGAGGAACAUCUGUGGCGAAGGCGACUACCUGGACCAGCACUGACACUGAGGCACGAAAGCGUGGGGGAGCAAACAG
rnacentral:rRNA from 1 species